UCAAAAUAUCUUCCCGCCAAUCAAUCUCAGCCGUUGCUUUACUAGUCCCCCUCCAUAAAUAAACCCAAUUAUUGUUCCAUUUGUGUUAAAUGGUCUCUGUUUCAUUUCCUGUGGCUCAACUUCAUUCUCACACCUGAUCUAUGUUAUUUCUAUUCAUCUGUUUUGGGAAUACUGUAGAUCGUGAAACGAUCUAUAAUUUGAUUAUGGAUUUGAAUAUGUUCGUUGAGGGUUUCGAUCCUUCACGGUCUAUAAUUUGAUUAUGGAUUUGAAUAUGUUCGUUGAGGGUUUCGAUCAACAGAGAACUUUCAUACAUCGCCUAAGAUGUAUGAUUUUAGAUUGGAUUUGGUGAAGGUCUAACGGAUUGAUGAAGGUUCAUUUUCCUGAUGCAAUUGACUGAUAUUUUCGGGCUGGAAAUGAUUUUUCGCCGAAGAAUUAAAGAACGAGGAAAUGCAUUUCUACUGAUUUUGUCUGCAUAAGAUUCUUGUGGUAUCAUGAUUGGUAUGGUUGUUUGUUUGUUAUGCUGUAUGAGCGACGUUCCUUUUGACAUGUUGAAACCUAUGACGAAUAUGAGCAUAGGAUGAGAAGUUACCGAGAGAUUACAGAGAUGAAUAGCUGAAUGUGGUGUUUGUCUUACGGACCAUUGCCAUGAUGGGUGCGCUCUCAUGGCAGGUCGAAAGAUCUCAAUAAAAAUAUCAUUUUUUGUUUAGAGGGGAGAUGGUACGGGGUUUUGCCCGACUCUCCCUUCUGUGUGCGGCCUCCUUUUCCUUUGCUGCCUUUAUUUUUUUGUCCUCGACCUGUCUUAUGUUGAAAAAUUUCUAUUCUGGUAUGGCAGUCGAGGGAAGGUUUAGUGUGCCAACUGGACAACCACACACUUCUUGCCUCUAUUCCCCUAAUCCUUUUAAUCAAACGCGUUCAGUUUAGUCCACAAAAUCUAGAUGCGAUUAUAGAUUCUUGUUUUGAUGAAAAUGGAACAUAAAAUAUUCCCGUGAAAGUCAAGACUGCAAGCUUUGCCAAGGGAUUGGGUCUACUGAAGCAUAAUUUUCCUAAGAGGUGCAUAAUAGAAUACUUUCAAUUUCUCUCUUAUAUUAAGUUCUACAGACAUAUUUAGUUCGACCAUGUGCUACAUGUCACUUGACAAUUUGUAAUUUAUGAGCUAUCUUGAUUAAUCAGUAAUGUUCAUACAUCAGCACACGUUAUUUAUAACAUUAACGUAUCAUACCUAGCUUCUAGCAUAUUGACUACAGAGUGUAAUAAGAAAGUAAUUGCAUGCAAUUUCGUACCUGUUUGAUGGCAGUUAUUUGAGAUAUUGAACCGUGACUUUUGAGGAAAAUGUGUAGCUAUAAAGGAGAAGUUUUGGUUUACGUGCACAGUAUAGUAGAGAAUGAACGUGUAGAAAAAUCAGUUUUUAAAUAAUGAUUUUCAAAUAGAAGUUGGUGUUUAAUCAUUCCUACUGAUGUAGUAACAGUUUGUACUUAUGAUUAACAUCAUUAAUAAUUAAUCUACGAGCAUGAAUCCGGACUUGGGUUUCCAUGUCAAACAACCAACCAACUUGUUUAAGUCGUCGUCCAAGCCCAUAUAAGUUUGAUUAGUGUUUAGCCCCUCUUCGGUGGGGAUUAAAAUCAGACUUUUAAUAGAUAUUAAUAGAAGUUCUGAAAUGUGUGGUUGAAAAGUUACUGAUCUCAUGAAUUAAAUAUAAAGUUAAAAUUAAUCGUUUAUUUUGAUUUAAUUAAAAUAUGAAACGGGAAUAAUGUUUAAAUAAUGUUGGAUAUUGCUCGUAAUGUCUAAUAUCUUGUUAGAUGUUUCUGUUUGUGGGUGCCAAUCUUGAGCUUUAAACUAUUCAAAAUGUUGGUAUGAUUUCUUUGGGUCUAGCACCAUAUUGAAUCUUUGCUCUUCAUCUGGAAAGAUAAUUGAGGCAAGAGGAGUAUCGAAGUCCUUAUUAUGUUGUUUCUAUUCAUAUAUUGUGAGAUUUUAGUCUUAACAAGGCAACACUAAGUAAUAUAAUUUUUUACCCCUCAAGCUAGCUUCUAAUAGCAACUGUAAAAUUAUGACUGUGUGUCAAUACAAAGCAAGAUUUGUCACAAGCAAAUAUAAUUUCGUUUUAUUUACUGCCUUGAUUCUUUCAAAUUCUAAAAGAAAUGUGAUGUUUAAAAUUAUCAAUUCUGCUUGGCAAUUGAAUUCAACAUUUGAUACAGAAUAUUUUUAACAUUUGUUAAAUUUAUUUAACAGUUAUCUCAUUUUGCCGUCUAUUGCAUAAUUAUGCUUUUGAAGCAGAGUUUAUUUAACAUUUAUCCUGUUAUAUAGACAUAUCUGGCCUCGAUACUCUUCCUGUAAAUGUGAUGAAAGUUGUAAAAUUCUCAAAGGCCAUCUUGUUUGAAUUAGUUGAGGGUUUAGAUGUUCUAGUCUUCUAGAUAAUUGUUACUUGGUGAGCAAGGGUGUCAUCGGGUUGACCAAGGCUACAUGAUGGUUACCAUUGCUACUGGUUGCUGGUAAUAAUGAGUCUCCUGAAAGUGACUAUGCUUGAUGGCCAUUUUCAAUCACUCUUUGAUAAAUGUUGCUGCUGCUAUUAGUGCAUUAAUUGCUGCUGCUGCUGCUGCUGCUAGCUGUUAUUGUGCCAUAUACAGUCACUAGUUGUCAUUGAUUGCUGCUGCCUCUUUCCAUAUAAAUUGCUGCCUCUUCUGCUGCUGUUGCUACUGUUUCUUGGAUAUGCUGAAAGUAUUAGGCUUGGCAUUUCAGAUUGUUGCCUUUCCCUGGUACAAUCGCUCGCUGAUAUUGAUGUUGCUGCUGCUAGGACUUGCUCCCUUGAUGAUCAGAGUUUCUGCUUCUGUCGGGUUUUACAUGCAUGUAAUUCCUACUGCUGUGGGUGCUGCUUACUCUUUCCUCUUGUUUAUCCUGAAGUUAAAACUGCUUUCUGCUAUUUGUUUUGAGGUGAAGAAUAAAAAUACGUCCCCUUCCAAUGAAUACUGUUUGUUCCAAUUUA